GAACUCGAGUAAGGGCCACCACAAAAUUUAGUUCCCUGAAAAAAUGAAAACAAAUAAAUAAUUUGGGUUUUUAAUAUAAAUUUAAUCCCUAAAACCUAACUUUAUAAGAAAAAGAAAAAUUCAUCACUCAGAUAUUCACUUUUGUGAUCUGAUGUCUCAAAUCACAAACCCUAAAUCCCUUUAAACCCAUUGGCUACAAAAGCAGCUCGAGAAUCUGCUCCAAUAACUGGAGUGAAGAAGCCCCACAAAUUCAGGCCAAGAACUGUGACGUUUAGAGAAAUUCAAAGAGAUGGCGGUUAAGGCGUAUCUUAUUGGAUUAUUUGAGGACUGUAUUCUUUGUGCCAUUGAAGCUAAGAGGAUUACCAUUACGCCUAAGGACCUUCGACUUGCAAAAAGGUUGUGGGGGUCAAAGGGCUUAAGUGGAUGUUUCAGGUUGCAGCUGCAGGGAAGAAGAAAAAGAUGAGUAUUUGCAUUAGAUCUUGAGUGUUCAUGGGCAAGGUUGAACAAUUGGCUUCUGUAACUUUGUUGAAACUUUAUGUCAUAUCUCGUCCCCUUACGUAUCCUUGGCAUCAAUGAACGGACACUUCAUACCCAGAUAUAACAGAGAGCCUAACUUAAGGUCACUAUUACGACUUCUUUUCUCUAUUAGGUUGUACUCCUCCUUCUUUACUUUAAAAUUGUCUAGCUAAAUUCUUUUGCUGAGAAAGGAGGAAAUAUUUAGGCCAGUGUAUUUCUCUCAAAUUAGGUAACUAAUUGAAACUGAAAGCAAUAUUUUUAGUUGAAGUACUUAUUUAGUAUGCGUUUGGCCAUGAAAAUAUACAAAUUUUAAAGUUGGAGUUGGAGUUGUGUUUUACCAUGAAUAUAAGUUGAAAUUAUUUUUGAAUUUUUGUGAGAGAAUUAGGAGUGAAAAAAGUGAAAAUAUGCUGAACCUUGUUUUCAUUUUGGUAAAGGUGAAUUCUUUGGUUGCCCCUGCUUGACAGUGUACUUUGACUAUAUAAAGCUGAAAUAUUGAUAUGGGAGCUACAUAUUUGCCAAUAACUCUGUAACUUUAGUGUCUGGUUAACAUAAUUUUUGGUUCUUAUUGGAGAUUUGAUUUCCUGGAAUCUUUGCUUUUUCAUGGUUCUUCUUGAAGUUCUGAUAGUUAUGAUAGGUGAGAAGAAAAAGAUCUAUAUGAAGCAUUUUCUAUAUGUGUUUUUCUAGAAUGAUGUUUUUGGGCUCAUCACUAGGGUGUAUGUGAAUUCAAUAAAGCAUAGUCAUCUCAAGUUGGGGUAAAGGACAGUAAUAGGUUGAAGGUCAACAAAAAUUAGUUUCUAACUAUGAUGAAUUCUUGAGAUACUGAAGACUAAUUUUGACAUUAGACUUGAAUAGACUGAAUUGGAUAUAAUAUGAUUCAUGUAGCUAACACCAACUGUUUAAGAUUUAGGAGAGGUUGAUUGAUUUACAUCAUUGCAAUUUUACGACUCAUAAUAUAUAAGCUUCCUCUUUUGAAGUUAACUAAUGUUGGUCCAUGUUUGUUAUUGUAAUUUCUGCAUCAUUGAACGACUAGAAAUCAUACAAGAUUUUUGUCAGAUGCAGUUUCAAGAAAUCUAAGAUAACAUUAGGAGCAGGCGCAACAAAAUCUUCCUCCUCAUGGAGGAGGUGAGUUUUCUCAAGAUCUAUUGUACUAGAAUAAAGUUGGUGGGAAUAAUUUAUUAUUUCCUAAAGGUUGUAUGAUGAGUGGUGAAUUUAGCACUCAUUUGCACUGAAUAUUCAUGCACACUUCCAUGAUGUGAAUGUCUAAGUGAGACAUAUUUGUGAUUAAAUGCACUAAUUCUCAUAUUUUGAAGGUAUACAAGUGCUGAAAAUAAGUAACUUUGAGCUAAAAAGGAUCAAAAAGGAAAUAGAAGUGCAAGAGCUGGACAAGCUGAAAAAGGGAGCAGGAUCUGGCCUAAGUUACCAAGAUUGAGGGAUGAAGGCCGCGAUCGCAAUCAGUCAAGCUAGACAACCAAUGGUGGUCGCGAUCAAGCCUCCACGAUCGCAUGAUAGCAGAAAAUGACCCAGGGGCAAAAAUAUCAUUUGGCCAGCCGACCCCAAAUCCCACUUAAGGCUCAAAACCCAUUUAUUCUAGGAAUCAUCAUUCCACAACCCUACCUCCCAUCCUUAGUUUAGGGUUUUUGUAAUUUCAUGGAGCUUGGAGCUGAAUUUACACUAAUUUGAGACAAGAUUAGAUAAGAGAAGCUCUAAAGUGUAGACUUGGCUUUGUCUAUUGAAGAUUCAUUUAAGUCUAAA